CUCUGAGCUUCCGCUCGCCGUUCGGCCAUGUUUUUGCAAGCAUGAAAGGAGAAGAGGGAGGCUUGCCAUCGUUCUUAUGGACUUGACCAGCGCUGACAAGAUUCCAUGCCACCCUAAUCGAAAACUGGUUGACUGGGCAUGGUUCGAAAUCAGAGUCAUGUUACGAUUUUUAUGGGGAUGCCUGUUCCAAGCUAACAAGGCCUUUGGGUCCCGGUGGCCCUUGCAUUCACGUGCAUGAUAUAGUGAAGAAAACUUAAAGGAAUCGAGGAGCAGAAUUGGAAAUGCUUCUACUUUAACUUUAAAGUCUAAAAGAUGGUAUUGGAAAAAACAUGAAGGUAGCAGAUGACCAAGGGAAAAUAAAAUCCUGGCUGAAGCAUUCAGCAGACUAGCUGAUAAGGGAAACAGCCAAUAAUUAAAGAAAUCUAUUGUGUAAAAUUUGUUAAUAAAGGUGUUUCAUUGUAUUAUUUUAGUACUGCUCUUUGUAUCAAACUUCAUGGAAUCCAUUAAAUGAA